GUGAGCUGGUGGGCAGGUUCGGGGCAUGAGCCCUGGGGAAGCUCCUCCCUCCCCGCAGGAGACGCGGCGUCGAGAGACGCGGCGGGAGACCGCCGGCUCUGGAACAGAAACGAUACCCGCGCCGAGGAUGCCAUGAUGGCAGUGAUGCCGGAGGACCCUUGGACGAGGGAUGAAACGGCCAACCCGCGUGGAGCAAGGUCAAAUCGGGCUGAUGACGGGCUUCCUGCCGGAAGUCCAGGUGGACCUCUUAGCUGAAUCCUGCCUAGAACAGGAGGAGGGCUACGGCCAGGAAAC
rnacentral:RNase_P_RNA from 1 species